CCCACCCGUACUANAGGAGCCUGUCCUAUAAUCGACACUCCACGCUAUACCUCACCCCCCCUUGCCACCCCAAUCUAUAUACCGCCGUCGCCAGUUCACAAUGUGAGUGUACCACCGUGAGCAAAACCAUCAACCAUUAAAACGACAGGUCAAGGUGUAGUUUACGGGGGGGGAAGUGAUGGGCUACAUUUUCUCCACUANAAAAUACCAACCGCACCGUGAAACUUAUGCCNNNNGGNGGAUUUAGAAGUAAGCUUGGCAAGACAUGCCAACCUGAAACCAGCCCUGGGACG
rnacentral:rRNA from 1 species